UACGUAGGGGGCAAGCGUUGUCCGGAAUCAUUGGGCGUAAAGAGCGCGUAGGCGGCCCGGUAAGUCCGCUGUGAAAGUCAAGGGCUCAACCCUUGAAUGCCGGUGGAUACUGUCGGGCUAGAGUCCGGAAGAGGCGAGUGGAAUUCCUGGUGUAGCGGUGAAAUGCGCAGAUAUCAGGAAGAACACCGACGGCGAAGGCAGCUCGCUGGGACGGUACUGACGCUGAGGCGCGAAAGCGUGGGGAGCGAACAGG
rnacentral:rRNA from 1 species